UUUAUUGAGAGUUUGAUCCUGGCUCAGGAUGAACGCUGGCGGCGUGCUUAACACAUGCAAGUCGAACGGACGGAUUGGAGCUUGCUCCAUGAAGUUAGUGGCGGACGGGUGAGUAACGCGUGGGUAACCUGCCCUAUGCAGGGGGAUAACGUUUGGAAACGAACGCUAAUACCGCAUAACCUAGUUGGUUCGCAUGAACCGACUAGCAAAGAUUUUAUCGGCAUAGGAUGGACCCGCGUUGGAUUAGCUAGUUGGUGAGAUAACAGCCCACCAAGGCAACGAUCCAUAGCCGGCCUGAGAGGGUGAACGGCCACACUGGGA
rnacentral:rRNA from 1 species